ensembl:rRNA 5S_rRNA 5S ribosomal RNA
GUCUUUGGCCAUACCACCCUUAAUGCGCCCAAUCUCGCCUGAUCUCAGAAAUGAAGCAGGGUCGGUACUGGUUAGUACUUGGAUGGGAAUACCAGUACUUGCCUGGGAAUACCAGGUGCUGUAGGCU